CUCUUAUUGAUUAUAAUUUUAAGUUUAAUCUGCUCAAUGAAUAAUUUUUAAAUAGCUGCAGUAUUUAUGACUGUACAAAGGUAGCAUAAUCAAUUGUUUCUUAAUUGGAAACUGGAAUGAAUGAUUUAAUGAAAUAUAAACUGUCUCAAUUUUAUUAAUUUGUUAAUAUAUAAAUAUUAAAAUUUUAUUUUUAGUAAAAAAUCUAAAUUUUUUUAAAAAGACGAGAAGACCCUAUAGAAUUUUAUAUAUAUUAUUUUAUAUUAAUUUUAUAAAUUAAAUAAAUUUAUUUAAAUUUAAAUAUAUUUGGUUGGGGUGAUUAUUAUAUUUAAAUAACUAUAUUUAUUUUUAACCAUAAAUUAAUGAUUAAAUGAUCCUAAAUUUUUAGAUUAUAAGAAUAAAUUACCUUAGGGAUAACAGCGUAAUUUUUUUUGAAAGUUCAUAUUGAUAAAAAAGAUUGC
rnacentral:rRNA from 1 species